GCUGGGCGUGGUGGUGCACGCCUGUAGUCCCAGCUACUCAGGAGGCUGAGGCAGGUGAAUUGCUUGAACCCGGGAGGUGGAGGUUGCAGUGAGCCAAGAUCGCACCACUGCACUCCAGCCUGGGUGACAGAGCAGGACUCUGUCUGUA
rnacentral:SRP_RNA from 1 species